UCCUGGCUGCUGUGUUCUCAGUGUCUCUGACAAACAGAAGUGUGUUCUUACUCAUUGUGACAUACUCAGCACUACAAAGGGACAGACAUUCAUCUCUUCAAUGUCUCUACUUGCUGUGUACUUUCUCCUGGCUUUCCUAUGAGCAGAAGAGGAAUAUGUUGCCUUUAAGGUGUGACCUUUAAUGUUGCUUUUGUAUGUGGCCGAAGUCUCAUAUAGUAAGAUAAGGAAAAUAAAUUCCAGAGAUACUAAGUGAGUCACAUGCUAAGAAGUCGAAGCAUCAAGUUCUCUACCUACUACUCUGGUCUCCUCCAUAUGAAUUGGUAAAAAAAGAUUAUAAAGUAACAACAGCAAUAAGGAAGAAAUCAAGAACAAUAUAUCCCCAGUAAGAGGGAUUUGGAGGGAAAGUCCAAUUUUCUUCUUCUCCUGUUCCAGCUAUGAUUGCAACCUUCAUGUGCAUGAAGCCAUAAGAAGACAUCUCACCGCAGUGGUCAGCAGGCACAGGCAAACCUUUAUCAUCAUAUGCCACCAUCGCCACUGGGUAUCACCACUCCCAGAGACAUGUACCAGAGCCUCUGAUGGGCUACAGUGGGGUUACAAUCCCCAAGUGCUCAAUGCACUGAAGUCAUAAGAUGUUUAGAGUAGUUAUGGAAUAAAUUUUAUUGUCCUUUCUUUUGUGACAUGUUAUUAGAGGAAUGUCAAAAGAUAAGACUGAGUUGUCAAUGA